CAGGUGAAAACGGAUAGAAUAUCAUUGAAUACAACAAUAAUGAAUGUACAAGUCACACAGCUACAACGAAAGAAAUUGCUGUCAAAUAGAAAAGCCAAAAUUUGCAAAGUCAUUAAAAAGGAUGGAUAACAAUGGGUUUGAAGAUGAAAGCAACAAGAAAUGCUAUUUUAGACAAGGAUAAU